rnacentral:rRNA from 1 species
AAACGCCCGGUCCCAUUCCGAACCCGGAAGCUAAGCCUGCCCGCGCUGAUGGUACUGCACCCGGGAGGGUGUGGGAGAGUAAGUUACCGCCGACA